rnacentral:lncRNA from 1 species
CUGGAUCGCAGAAGCGUGGGUUGGAAGGCAGCUCUGCAGGCUGCCUAGCCCAGCCUCCCAUGCCUCGAGGCAGGCUCAGUACCAGAUCAGUACCAGAUUGCCAUGACUUUGUCUCGCCAAGUCAUGAAAACCGCCAAGGACAGGAGUCUCCUGGGGCAGCCCGCUCCAGUGCUGCGUUACCUCACUAGCGACGCUUUCUUGUAAUGUCUGCCCUGAACCUUGCAAGGUUGUGGCUGCUGCUUGUGCUGUCAUCUGGCUCUGCUGGGAAGGGUUUGGCUCCCCUGUUUUGGGAAGAGACAUGUUCCAGAGCUGGCACCUAAGAAGGAAGGCACAGAUGACUUGCUUUCCCGAGCCUUGUGCCUCAACACUGGAACUGCGAGGUGGCCUCUGCUCUCUGGUGCUGUUGCUCCAAGCAUCCCCGCGCUGAAGAUGGUGCUAGUCUCGAGGUAGGCAGCAGCAGGCUCCCGCGUCCCUUCUGGGAGUGACAUGUGACACUUUUGGGGCUCAGUGCUCUGCCCCAGAACUGGAGUCAGGCAGCGAGAGGUCCCUGCAGCCACGGCGGCAUUCCCUGGCGCAGGGUGACCUGGAGCAGGGAGCAGCCCCGGUGCUGAGGGAGAGCUCGGGAGCCAAAGCCCGAUGGGCUUGGGCUGGUGCGGUGAGAGCCUGCACGACAGGAAGGGUUGCUGCUUCUGACACCUCACUUUCUGAAAAAGUGCUUUUCAUACAUUUGCUUUAUUCAAGCAAAAUGGCAACAACGGGAGCAGGAAAAAAAGAUGCGAGGACUCUGCAUGUACCAGUGCUCCCAACCAGAUGUGGUGUGAAUCCUAACGCUCAGUGGGUGUUUUAGGUUUGUGACUAGCAAGAGGAUUUACACUGCUAAGCAAGUCCCAAGGAGGGGGCAGUACAACUUUUAUUGAAACAGAAUGUUCUCCAAGAUGAGAGCUGCUUCAGCUGGCUUGUGAUCGAGGCGAUGAGCCACGCUGGCGUGCGGAUGAGACUGCGGGAGAGCUGAUGGUGAGCGAAUAGAGUGUGGCUGGAACCUGGCUGUAGGUGGAGCCAUUUACAUUUAGG